rnacentral:rRNA from 1 species
UCAAACUAAAGAUGGCGACCGGCGCACGGGUGAGUAACACGUAUCCAACCUGCCGAUAACUCGGGGAUAGCCUUUCGAAAGAAAGAUUAAUAUCCGAUAGUAUAUUAAAACCGCAUGGUUUUACUAUUAAAGAAUUUCGGUUAUCGAUGGGGAUGCGUUCCAUUAGUUUGUUGGCGGGGUAACGGCCCACCAAGACUACGAUGGAUAGGGGUUCUGAGAGGAAGGUCCCCCACAUUGGAACUGAGACACGGUCCAA